UAUGUGAUAGCAAUUAAUAUGGAUGAUGAUAUAUUAAUCAAGGAAGUUGAAAAGGACUGGGGCUUUGUAAUAUCAAGUGCACAGUACGAAGAGUGUCUAAGUUUUGCAAAAAAAAAUGCAAUUUAAGUGCAGUCGAAGUAAAACUAUCUUCAGAAAACAAGUGUUUACUUAAUCUUUACUUCAGAAACUCUACGGAAGGUUGUAGCAUAAGAAUUUUGAAAAUAAAUCAUGAUGUCUGGUUUGCUAGUGAGGAACCUAACGUAUGGGAAAACGUGACCCCGGACGAAAUGGAGAUUGUCAUUUUUCAUGGAAUGAAUCGGUCUCAUAUGAUUAUUAGAGGGUCUGGGGAAAUCAGACUGACGCCGGAACCACGGCAGGACGAAUUUACGAAAAAUAUCCACGCAGCAGAAAUUACAGAAAUAAAGGAAGCAAAUAAGUUGGAAAUACUCCCACUACAAGACAUAACAGAAGCACAAGUAAUAAACAAAGAGCCGCGAGGAGCUCCUAAGGAAGAUAAAUCAGAUAAAAUAGCAAUUGGUAACAAGAAAAGUAUCAACAAAAUCAGAUGAACCCAGCUACAACCAGGAAACAAAAAAGGGGCAAGAGACACAACAAUUUCGAGCGCUGCGAAAGCCUUAAAAAAAACACGAAUGGAUAUGCAACCGGUCACCGUCACUAUAAUAAACCGUGAAAACCAGGAUACAACGAAAACCCGAUAUAUAGGCACGAAGCACCUAAACCACCCACACCCGAUAUUGAACAUCGAUCAAAUGGUACGUCAGAAUACAGGAAGGCGGUGGAGAGCCCGGCGGCAAGAGAUGGGAAAGCCCGGAACGAAGACGCGGAAUGGCGUACGCUUGAGGAUCAUCGUAAGGCUAGGGAAUGUAGAAAAUUUAAAGUGUAAUAUAGGAAAUUUUAAGUACCACCAUAUACCCCACUAGAACUUCCCGCGCUAUCAUCUUGAUAACUAUCAUUAUCAAGCUCAAUAAUUAUGGGGAUAUGUAUCGUUUCGAUUCCUGUAGUGUUACGUAGAAGAGAAAUUAUAAAUAAAAAAGAAACAAAAAACAACUCAGUAGGUUGGUCAGCUAGAAAAACUCGGUUCAGCAAUUGUUUAUUAAAGCCAAAGAAAGAGCUUUUUUACAAUGACCUAACCUUUUACUUACAUAAGCUGCGACAAGCAACACAGUUGCAAGAAUUUCAAGAACAGCACGUUAGGUAAACAGGUAUUGACCUAAGUCAUGCGCAGCAGAGCAGCAAGGUUUGUGUCAAGUUAAUGUUUAGGUUUAUGCGCAACGGUAGCAAUGUUUUGUUUAAAGUUUAUGUUUAGGUUUACAAAAUAUAAGAAAAAGUUGGACCGCGGUUGAUGAGCUAUCUGGUCUGUUCUGCGGCCAGAGUGAAAUAUUUGAAUGAGAGUUGAGUCAGUUUUUCUAAGCCGGUGAGGAGAAACCACGGAGUCCCACCGAAAAAAAAAGAAGGUGUAAAGGU